GGAGUGGUUUGUGGUGCUGUCGUUAUCACCACGAUGGUGCUGAUUUGGGGAAGCAGGAUGAAAAAGAGAAAUGACACACUUAAAUCUCAGGUAAAGAUGAAUCAGUCCAAACAUAAUGAAAACAGACGCAAAGCUUGUGAUGAUGAGUUGAGUCAACAUGAGUAUGAGAUGAUUACCUUGAAUCUGUCAUAAUGUUUGGGACACAGAGCAAAACAUUUU